CAAAACUGGGAAAGACGUAAUUAAGUGGCAAGAGGGUUUAGUUGUGCAAAGCAAGUUACCAAGUCAAACUUGUCCUUCAAAGGACAGCAUUCUACAGCCAGCUUUGGAUAGAAACCUAAAUGGACAUUCCUGGUUCAAGCCACCCCUCGAUGUCUCUUUUAACAUACCCCUAAUGAUGUUUAAUGUCUAAUUUAUCUGCUUGUCUACUCCUGUCAUGAAAGCAGGAACUGGACUCAUUUGGUUAUCACUGUAUGACCAGAACCUAGAAUAGUACCUGGCACUCAGCAAGCACUCAGUAAAGAUUUGUCUUCCGGCUGACACCAGGCUGGGAACAAGUCAAAUGAUGAAGGAAGAAGGGAGAGAUUCUAUCUGUCAUAGCUCGCAAGGGAGCAGGAUGGAAAUUAGAGAUGGAAUUACAAAGAGGUCCCUCACUGCCAUCAAAGGCUGGUAGUGGCACGUACUCUACCCUGACGGGGAACAGACAUCCAGAGGAUCAAGUUAAAAGCCGUUGUUGGAAGUUACAAGUCCCGGGUUGGUGUUCCAGAAGCUUAAUAUCAACUAUACUGAUGACGCCACCAUUUCCCCAUUUCCCAACACCUUUGAUGCCACCUGACAUUUUCUUUAAUCUCAUCAGAAAAAUAAAUGAUGUCACCAUGGCAGCCCUCUCAACACAGCAGAGAAGCAAGCCAUUCCAAAAUGGGCCAGAUUUGGUAUUACCUAAGUCUUGAUACUCUGGGCAGAUGGCGUAUUUUCAAAAGUCUGGCUGAAGCACAGUGAAUUAAUGGAAAAAGCACUCAGCAGAGAGAUCGGGAACUUGGGUUCCUGUUUCAGCUUUGCUACUAAAUUUUUGUCCUUGUCAUUCUACUGUUCUGGGCUUUAUUUUCCAAAUCUGUAAAAUGAAGGUGGGUACCUUCCAGAACUAAAAUUACACAGUCCCCUCAGGGUUCGUUUACAACAGUCACCUCUCUGAUGUCCUUCAAUGUCACUGUCCUCCAGCUACCAAUGCAAAUCCCACCUUUCCUCCUCACUCCUUCAGUUUGGCCUCACCACAUGGGGAAAAUGCGUUCUCUAAUGUUCAUCAACUUGAAACUGUGGCUUGUAUGUAAGCACUUUUUCAAACUACCCUGAGUUUGAACAUGGGUAUGUUUUAUUCUUCCUAUGUAGCGUGUAAGUUCCUUAGGGAAAAAGACCAAGAAUUUCAUGUCCCCCAAACACACCUAGCACAGUGCUGGGCACAUCACAGGUGCUCAGUCAGGGCCUUCCAACCUUACCAACAGAUGAGUGUGCAAGUAAAUGUAGGAUUACUGCUAUUACACUGAUGUUCUCCAAAGCCCAGGUCACCAACUCAGCCAGGAAUCAGCUACAAUCUGUCCUUUCUUGUUAAGGGACACCUUACUGCAAGGUUGGCUGGGACUGAUUUACCUGAUCAUGGGCAGUGCUACCCUGCAAGCUCUGAAUACUCCUGAACAAGUAAAUACAAGUACCUCCCUCCAUAGGACUUUUAAAGUUGCACAAACUUUGUGAAGACAAUGAGCAGUUUCUUUCUUGGAUUGGCACUCCAAAAACAUACAGACACCUCUCUGUGGAGGUACAAUGAGACUCAGGACAAAAGUACAAAACACUGCCAGUUCAAACAGCCUCCUCUGUUACAGAGCAUAUAUAUGACUUCUGUAAUCCGAGUUGAUUCAGCCUAUAGAUGGCCUCAAGGCAGAAUCAGCCCUCAAGUCUUUUUUUUUUUUUUCAGUAUGAAAGAAAGAAUUUUAAAGUUAUGGGGAAAAUCCAUAAGCAAGAGAGCCUCAUGUGAAUGUCAAAUACUAGGUGUUUGCUUUUUUUAAACCAAAGCUACUAUCUGUGUCUUAAAGGGUCCCCAGAGUUUAAGUCAAUUUCAAAUGGGACUGUAACAACCUACUUCUUCUCACAAAUGGGCCUUGAGAGCUCGUUUGGAGGGGUUUAACAGGAGAGCACAACUCCUGGUAUGUUCGUUGGCCAAGCAGGUCUUCCGUAUAUGAAAGGCCAUCUCUUUGGUGGAAGGCUUAGCACUGUGAGGGAGUGUGGAAGGAAGGAGCGUGGCCCGGCCAGGCAGAUGUAGUCAAAUCACCCUGGUUUCAGUAGUGUGACAGAUGGGCAGCUGGCUUGCUCUGCUCCGCAUUUUGGGGUGGGGGAUUUAGACACUGUAGCCACUGAGGCUGUUGGCCACAGUUGCUUUCUCAGACCAAGAGCUCCACUGUCCUUCCUGGAAAGAAGACUCUUUCAGUUCUAUUUUAUGUACAGAAAGAGUGAUUAUUUGAGGCUUGAAUACAGAAAUUAAUGGCACAGGCCAAAUGAAGGCUUAACAAAAUGAAGACUUCGUUUAUUUUAUGUUUAAAAGUUUAAGGCAGUUUCACUGAAUUUUCAUUUAAGGUGUUUUUUUAAAUGUCAUUGCUUUUUUUCCCCUGGUAGUUCAAAAAUGUCAUACUAAAAAUCAACUCAUAAUGUACCCUCAGGUAUACACCUAAAAACAUGAAUGAAGAUAUAUGUACAAGGACGUUAACUGAGACAUUAUUUUUAACAUCAGGAAAAAUGGAACAAAACCAUGUAUUCAUCAGUAACAAACUGAUUAGAAUAGUAUGUGUCAUGAUUCCACUUGGGAAAACACAGUAACUCUGUAUGUGCAUAAAAAGUACGUAUGAUUGUAUGGACACAGGAAAGGUCUCGAAGGACAGUCACUGAACUAAACAGUGGCUGUCUCCAGAGGAUGGGGUGCGGGAUGUUUGGUGAGGAGGGAGGACUUUUAACACAUACAAUUUUACCCCAUUAAAUUUUUUUUUUACAAGUAUAUUUAAUUUUUUAACUGGUCCUCAGGUAACAGCACUGGAUUAACCAUAUAUAACAUAUUAUCACUAUGGAUUCAUGCAUGGCCCACUUUUACUAAAGUUAGUUAACCAGUUAUUUUUAAUAAUAAAGCACACUUUGGGCUUCCCUCGUGGUGCAGUGGUUGAGAGUCCGCCUGCCAAUGCAGGGGGCACGGGUUCAUGCCCCGGUCCGGGAAGAUCCCACACGUCGUGGAGCGGCUGGGCCCGUGAGCCGUGGCCGCUGGGCCUGCGCAUCCGGAGCUUGUGCUCCGCAACGGGAGAGGCCACAACAGUGAGAGGCCCGCGUACCGCAAAAAAAAAAAAAUAAUAAUAAUAAUAA